CCUACGGGCGGCAGCAGUGAGGAAUAUUGGUCAAUGGACGCAAGUCUGAACCAGCCAUGUCGCGUGCAGGAAGACGGCCCUAUGAGUUGUAAACUGCUUUUGUACGAGGGGAAACGCAGAUACGUGUAGCAUUAUGAAAGUAUCGUACGAAUAAGGAUCGGCUAACUCCGUGCCAGCAGCCGCGGUAAUACGGAGGAUUCAAGCGUUAUCCGGAUUUAUUGGGUUUAAAGGGUGCGUAGGCGGUCGUUUAAGUUAGUGUUUAAACGCCGGGGCUUACCUUGGAAUUGCCAUCGAUACUGUUCGGCUAGAGAGUAGAUGCGGUAGGCGGAAUGUGUGGUGUAGCGGUGAAAUGCUUAGAGAUCACACAGAACACCGAUUGCGAAGGCAGCUUACCAGGCUACUACUGACGUUGAGGCACGAGAGCGUGGGGAGCGAACAGGAUUAGAUACCCUAGUAGUC
rnacentral:rRNA from 1 species